ensembl:lncRNA
UGUCGGAGGAGUAACGUAUUAACGUGCAUUCGGUGUGAGUUAAUACUGCGUGCGUGCUUACCAUAGGUCUGGUUUGCCAAUAUGACCACACACACACAUACCCAUAUACACACUCACACCCCCGUUACCUGCAUGUGAAUACUGUAAUGCCUCCCUACCAACGCUGUACAUCCUGUUGAUGUCAUCUGCCACCUCUUUAGUAAAGUUAUUUGAACUACAUCACUGUGGAGUACCAUUCCUUCUGACCGAGGACGACUCAGUUGAAGCGUGAUCGGCAAUCAGUGCAAACAUACAUUACACAUUUAUAGCAUUUGAAAGAUGAGCUGUUAAACCCCCCCCCCCCAAAAUGUUUCUUUGAGGUUACAGGCUACUUUUUCUUUUUUUUCCUUUUUAAC